rnacentral:lncRNA from 1 species
ACCCUAUAUCUGAAUCCGGCAACCUUUAAGCCUUUAGUCUGUAGACCACCAAAAUUGCCUAGUUACAGAUUUGUGUGGGGCACCAUGUAGCCGUCGUAUCAGCCCUGGCAGUGGAAAAGCCAGCUUCUACCUGAAACUGAUGCCUUCAGAAUGUAUCGAUACGGUAAUGCUACUUUCUCUUCGAAAUUUUUGGGUUCUUGCACAUGCGGAUGCUUGCAGGGGUAACCUCCACUAGCUCAUCUUCUUGGAUAAACUCUAUGCAGUCAUCCAAACUGUAGCUUAAAGGUUCAUCAAGAACCACUGCAAAAUAGGGAACACAGAGCAUUAAGUGUAGUUUGAUCAAAAGCUAAUAGUCAAUGAAUAUGAAUAUUGGUUGAGUAAUAAAAGCAUUUUCAAGUACAUAUUGGGCAUUUCAGCACUUGCUACUUCUAGAAUGAACAACCUACAUUGUUUUCAAUACAUGGUUAUAUUCCAAGAUCUCUACUCGUUCUUGUUCCAAAAUUUUAUCAUUUAUGUUGCAGCAGCUAUUGGGACGUUUUUCAAGAAGAGCCAAUCACAGUACACAAAAUCUGUUACAUAAAAGGUGGCAGUUCUGGUAGAAAUAAAAAAAAUGAGAAAUCAUCAAACUGCUGAGUGAAAAUAAAGUUCUACCUGUAGUUUCCUUGUUGGAACGAACAUUUGUAGCAGCCUUUUUCUUGCACACAUUAAUUGCUAAAUCACCAGGUCGCUGAUGGAUACCAACAAUUUGACCUUUGUAAACAUCCUGGCCAGGUUGGACAAACAGCAAACCUCUUUCUUGCGCAUUAAGAAGUGCGUAAGAAGUAGUGCUUCCAUCUUCAAACGCAACCUAGAUCAUUUUAUCCAAGUUAAAUGCUAGGGAAAAUUUAAGGAAAAGCUUCAUUGCUUUGAAAAUUAUCCAUACCAAGGAUCCCUGAUCGCGUGAGCUAAGAUCUCCAGCCCAUGGGCCAUAGCUGUCAAAAAUUGUGUUAAGUAUAGCUCUGCCACGAGAAGCUGUAAGAAUUGCAUUCCGAAGUCCAAUGAGGCCUCUGGUAGGAAUCUUGUAUUUCAGCAAUGUUGUUCCCUCCGGCCUACCAUUCAAAAUAAUUCUCAGUAAGGCAAUAAAGCAAUGUGAAAAAGAAGCAGUACACAAUAGGCUGGGGUAUGAUUUAAUUAAUACAAGACAAGUCAAUAAUCAAGCACAUAAUUUUCCUCUUUUCGUUGAAAGACCUGGCUUUUCAAUUAAUUAGAACAAUUCACCUGCUGCAUGAUUUCUACACUAGAUAAGAUAAAUUAUCCAUAAUUAAGGACUGAGACACCAAUAAAGUGAAAUCACAACUCCCAACUAAAAUUGUGCAAACUGACCAUGGAAGAACUCACAGAAAAUUGACCAGUUUGUUGGAUUUCAUCAGUUUGGAUAGGUUUGCAUUAAUGUCUGAGCUUUUCUUUUUCUCAAGUAAAAUUGUUCAAAAUAUACACAAAAGAUAAUGAUGCUAAGAGCAUACAAUUAUGUUUACUUAGUCCCAUACUGCGUACACCUACGUUAGUGCAUAGAGUAUGAAGCUUAACCCUAAACCCUUAAUAGUACACCUUAUGUUUUAAUUUACAGGGUGCACUUUUCUUUGGCUCAGAGACCAAUAAGGUAGCUAACGUGACCAAAUUGCCCCCCAUUAAUUCUUAAGAAUGCAUGCAGCUCGGCUAUCAAUUGCUGCCGUUGCUUAGGAGGGCUACAGACGUCCAUUUGUGCUUUGGAAACGGAACGUGCUUAGUAAAAAUGAACAGCUAAGAGAAAAAUGGACACCCUAUAAAUCCGAAACGGAAGGAGUACUAGUAGUUACAAAAAUACUACAUUAAAAAUAACAGAAAAAAAGGUCAUCUAGGAUGAAAGUGUGGGACUUGAGCAAUGAACUCCAGAAGUCGUUAAUUCUGAUGAAUCGCAACAAUGUUGGCAGUUUUUAUUGCUUUCUUUUUUUCUAUAUAAGAAUAUUAUAUGGAUUGCAACCAAGAAUUUCGCUAAAGAUCUGAUGAAGUAAUGAAAGUAUGGCACCAACCCGCUAGCUUCCAUGUUAACCAUUUGUCCACGCCUUUUCCCCAAAAGCUCAACAACUGAACCCAUGUACUCCUCUGGAACCUCAACAGCAGCUAUCUGGAGCACAGUAACGUGAACAUAUUAGUUAAAUGGAACCUGAGGACAAAAGAGUUCCAGAAAGAAUAAAGUAAUAAAAGAAGAGGUUUAUAGCCAAUAGAUCAGUAAAAAAAUAUAUUACAAAUCUAUUAUAUAUUUAUACAAUAAAGUAUAGACUUACCUCAUAAGGUUCUAGUUGUUUUCCAUCCACUGUCUUGUUUAUGACCUUUGGAGGUCCAAUCAUAAAUUCAUAUCCUUCUCUCCGCCUACAAAGUUCACAUUGUUCUUAAUACAACCAGAACUCACUAAAUUCGUAAUAGUAACAAAUGUUAGUUCUUACAUGUUCUCUAUCAAUAUUGUGAGAUGCAGUGUGCCUCUUCCACUAACAAGGAAUGUAUCAGCAGUCUCCCCAUCUUCUACUUUCAUAGCCAAAUUCCUUUCAAGCUCACGAUAUAACCUGUCACGGAGAUUUCGGCUAGUAACAUAUUUCCCCUGUGAUAGAGAAUGAGAGGAAGAAUGAAUUUAGAACAACAAAUGCAGGAGAUCAGAUUGAGUAGUCAAGAUCAAUUUUAUGGAUCUCCCAACUCUCUUUAGCACAGGAUAGCAUGCUAGAAAUUAGAGAUACACUAUUUUAUGUUUGCGUGGAGGAUGGCUAUACCUCCUUUCCAACAAAAGGUGAUGUAUUGAUGGAGAAAGACAUUCUGACUGUUGGCUCCUCCACUUUGAUAGUGGGCAAUGGUGUUCCUGUAACUUUAUCAGCAAUAGUUUCCCCA